rnacentral:piRNA from 1 species
UGGUGGGACUGAGGUUGGAGAGCUGGCU